rnacentral:rRNA from 1 species
AAUGCGGAAGAGAUAAGUGCUGAAAGCAUCUAAGCACGAAACUUGCCCCGAGAUGAGUUCUCCCUGACUCCYUGAGAGUCCUGAAGGAACGUUGAAGACGACGACGUUGAUAGGCCGGGUGUGUAAGCGCAGCGAUGCGUUGAGCUAACCGGUACUAAUGAACCGUGAGGCUUAACCUUACAACGCCGAAG